UGGCAACAGAAUAUCUGCACAUCAUAGAAUUAAGUUCAUGUUAAUUGACAUUAUACUCAUACACAGGUAUAUGGUAUAACGAAGUGCUUUUUGCUUAGCCCUCAGGCGGUAAGUAGUGCAAACAACAAUACAAUUGUGCAAGAAGACAAGAGACAACAGCUUCCAGAGGCUCCGGCUGAGCCUCUCGCAGUAUUUGUGAGCCUUGUACAGGAUCCCACCUGAGGCUGAUCCUGCUCUAGGUCUUUUAAGGAAAC